rnacentral:sRNA from 1 species
CCAAUAGCGUAUAUUAAAGUUGUUGCAGUUAAAAAGCUCGUAGUUGAAUUUCGGGAUCAAUUAAUUGGUCGUGCCUCUGGUACGUACUGAUUUUAUUGGUUUCUCCCUUCUGACGAACCAUGAUGUCAUUAAUUUGGUGUCGUGGAGAAUCAGGACUGUUACUUUGAAAAAAUUAGAGUGUUUAAAGCAAGCUAACGCUUGAAUACAUUAGCAUGGAAUAAUGAAAUAGGACGUUUGAUCCUAUUUUGUUGGUUUCUAGGAUCGACGUAAUGAUUAAUAGGGAUAGUUGGGGGCAUUAGUAUUCAAUUGUCAGAGGUGAAAUUCUUGGAUUUAUUGAAGACUAACUACUGCGAAAGCAUUUGCCAAGGAUGUUUUCAUUAAUCAAGAACGAAAGUUAGGGGAUCGAAGACGAUCAGAUACCGUCGUAGUCUUAACCAUAAACUAUGCCGACUAGGGAUCGGAUGAUGUUAAUUUUUUAAUGACUCAUUCGGCGCCUUACG